ACUUAACCCACUUUUCCCGAAUUUUUCACUUGGCAACAGGGCCCAAAAAGCUAAAAUACAACUAAAACCGACAUUAGCGUCGCCAGUUGCACAUGAAUUAAGCAUGCAACAACAAUAAGUUUGCACUAGUUUUUUUGUGAUUUCUGUGCCGUUUGCUAUUUGCUAUUUUUGUACGUGGCCAAAGUUGGUGAAUCGCGUAAUGGAGAAAAUAAAAUACCACAACGGAGUGGAAAUAAAACGCAGGCCAUAGGCCCCAAUCAUGCCCAGAAAAAAGGAAACACGAAAAUAAAAUGAAGCCAUUGCCCCAGAAAUUCAGGCGAAUAAAUGCCUCGAACGAAUCCCGCUUCCGCAACGAAGAGCUAACGAACUUGCCACGGAACUCGAACGGAAUGUAUGGAUGGAUGGAUUGAUGGCUGGAUGGAUGGGUUGAUGGCUGGAUGGACGAGUGGCAUACUCUGAAUACCAACGAGUACCAGUUACCAAAGCAAACAUUCGGAGGCACGCAAAAGGCGGCGAAGCAGCAACCGAGACGCAUUACGGAGCUGGUCUGGGCCACCUUCUGUCAGACGGAAGUGACGCUACUAUUGCCACUGCCACUGCCACAGCACCUGUCGUCCUCCUGCAUUCCUCAUCCCUGUCAACCUGCCACUCCGCCGGGCGGGCGAUGCGACGCGUCUCUGCCACCUGUCCAAUUGCAUUCAGUCAGCUGCGUCGGACAAACAAAUACAACAAUUCCCCUUUUUACCUGAAUAUGCAGAUGCAUCCCGCAAUACAUAUGCACAUUUCCACUGGCUGCGUUUC
ensembl:ncRNA lncRNA:CR44171 long non-coding RNA:CR44171